rnacentral:rRNA from 1 species
GACGAACGCUGGCGGCGUGCCUAAUACAUGCAAGUCGAACGCAGUGGGGACGGGUGAGUAACCCGUGGGUAACCUCCCAUCAGAGGGGAUAACACUUGGAAACAGGUGCUAAACCGAUAUUGAUGUAUGGACUCGCGGUGCAUUAGCUAGUUGGUGAGGUAACGGCUCACCAAGGCCACGAUGCAUAGCCGACCUGAGAGGGGGAUCGGCCACACUGGGACUGAGACACGGCCCAGACUCCUACGGGAGGAAGCAGUAGGGAAUCUUCGGCAAUGGACGAAAGUCUGACCGAGCAACGCCGCGUGAGUGAAGAAGGUUUUCGGAUCGUAAAACUCUGUUGUUAGAGAAGCGGUAUCUAACCAGAAAGCCACGGCUAACUACGUGCCAGCAGCCGCGGUAAUUC